UUCGUGAUUUUUUGAAUUCACGAGCACAUUUUGAAUCUGUUAACAUUUUUUAUCUCAUGAAUAUUUUUUAAUUCAGUAAUUCUUUUGGAAUUCACGAAUUUUAAAAAUCUCAAACCUUUUAAAUUCGUGAACAUUCUUUGAUGUGGUUGGGCCAUCUCAAAGAUCUUCCUUUUGUCUGUGUAAACAUUAUGACGACUUAGUAAAGCUUCGCGAGGUUGUCUAAAAAAACAAGUAAAGUACACCUCUCUCUCUCAAAAAAGAAAAGAAAAAACAAGUAAGAAGACACUGCGCUCGCUCGGUUACAAGAAGAAGAAAAAAAUGCGACGGUCGGAGUCGGAGGCGGCUGGGGAAGGCGAGCGAGGAACCCUAACCCUGACCGAGCACUCCAGAAGAAGAAGAUGAAGGCGCGGGCGCGGGUCCGAGGAGAGGGACAUCGGCGGCGAUGGCAUCGGCGAUUCGGCACACGGCGAGGUGGCUGGGCGGCGUCGCGCUCCGGCAGACGCGGGCGGGGUUGCCAGCCUAUUCCCUCCGGCCUCCUCCCACCGCUGCUGAGAUUGGGAGGCAUCACGCGCUCAAGGAAAUCAAACAGAAGAAGGAAGAGCUGUUCAGUCUGAUUGCCGACACGGAACGGUGAUACAACACUCGCCUCACCAAGGAAGGUUUUCAGAACAUACGUAUGCUGCAGCAGCUAGCCGUGCAGAUCGAUCCUAGGCCUGCCGACCCCUUGUGGCGCUCGAAGCGGUUUACGAAGCGACUCAAUGAUUUUGUUGGCUUUACCGGGGCCAUCGUGUCAGGCUACUUGCUUACGGAUAAAUGGCUCAACUCGGGCAAGGAUGCGGACCCAAGAGGGGAGGAGGGCAUGGCUCUGGUGCUAGCCAGCAAUGAGUGAAUUGCUUCAUUCACUGGGACAAGGAGGCAGAAGAAGUGUAUAAGUAGUAGUAGUAGUAGUGUUCUGGAGGAGGAAGUUAUUAGUGUGCUCUUUCUGGGUAUCCUUUAGCUUAUGUUAUGUAUGAACAACUGUGAGAUCUGUUGUGACAUUUGUACAAGUUGAUGACAUGGUGCCAGCAAACUGUUCAAAACCUGCCUUUUCAUCUUGACUAUAAGGCCGCGCUUGGAAUCGAUGUAAAUAAAUACAGAUGUAUUUUUCUUACGGGUGUAUCUUACCGGCCAGGAGCGAUUGUUUACAA